rnacentral:misc_RNA from 1 species
UGAGCAGAGUUUAGUGUCAG